rnacentral:rRNA from 1 species
GGGGCAGCGGGGGUGCAGGCUUGCCUGCACCUGCCGGCGACCGGCGCAUGGGUGAGUAACACGUAUGGAACCUGCCCGCCACAGGGGGAUAACCCGGGGAAACCCGGCCUAAUACCCCAUGCCGCCCGGACCGGGCAUCCGGACCGGGCGAAAGGAGGAAUCCGGUGGCGGCUGGGCAUGCGGCGCAUUAGCUUGACGGCGGGGUAACGGCCCACCGUGGCGACGAUGCGUAGGGGUUCUGAGAGGAAGGCCCCCCACACUGGAACUGAGACACGGUCCAGACUCCUACGGGAGGCAGCAGUGAGGAAUAUUGGUCAAUGGGCGGAAGCCUGAACCAGCCAAGUCGCGUGAGGGAAUAAGGCCCUACGGGUCGUAAACCUCUUUUGCCGGGGAGCAAGGGCCGGGACGAGUCCCGGCCCGGAGAGUACCCGGAGAAAAAGCAUCGGCUAACUCCGUGCCAGCAGCCGCGGUAAUACGGAGGAUGCGAGCGUUAUCCGGAUUUAUUGGGUUUAAAGGGUGCGUAGGCGGGCUUUUAAGUCAGCGGUAAAAAUUCGGGGCUCAACCCCGUCCGGCCGUUGAAACUGGGGGCCUUGAGUGGGCGAGAAGAAGGCGGAAUGCGUGGUGUAGCGGUGAAAUGCAUAGAUAUCACGCAGAACCCCGAUUGCGAAGGCAGCCUUCCGGCGCCCUACUGACGCUGAGGCACGAAAGUGCGGGGAUCGAACAGGAUUAGAUACCCUGGUAGUCCGCACAGUAAACGAUGGAUGCCAGCUGUCCGGGCCGAAUGGGGCCUGGGUGGCAA